rnacentral:rRNA from 1 species
CGUAGGUGGUACCUGCGGAAGGAUCAUUA